rnacentral:rRNA from 1 species
CAAUGGAGAGUUUGAUCCUGGCUCAGGACGAACGCUGGCGGCAUGCUUCAUACAUGCAAGUCGAACGAGAAGCCGUAGCUUGCUAUGGUGGAAAGUGGCGGACGGGUGAGU